GACGAACGCUGGCGGCGUGCUUAACACAUGCAAGUCGAACGGUGAAGCGCCUUCCUUUUUGGUGGGUGUGGAUGAGUGGCGAACGGGUGAGUAACACGUGAGUAACCUGCCCCCUUCUUCUGGAUAACCGCAUGAAAGUGUGGCUAAUACGGGAUAUUCUGGGUCUGUCGCAUGAUGGGUCUGGGAAAGAUAUUGUUUCGGUGGGGGAUGGGCUCGCGGCCUAUCAGCUUGUUGGUGGGGUGAUGGCCUACCAAGGCGGUGACGGGUAGCCGGCCUGAGAGGGUGGACGGUCACACUUGGACUGAGACACGGCCCAGACUCCUACGGGAGGCAGCAGUGGGGAAUAUUGCACAAUGGGCGCAAGCCUGAUGCAGCGACGCCGCGUGAGGGAUGGAGGCCUUCGGGUUGUGAACCUCUUUCGCCAGUGAAGCAGGCCUGCCUCGUUUGUGGGUGGGUUGACGGUAGCUGGAUAAGAAGCGCCGGCUAACUACGUG
rnacentral:rRNA from 1 species